UUUUUCCGUCUUAUCAACUUAUGUCCAUAUAUAAUGUAGAUUGAGUACGAUUCAAAUUCAAACAACGAAACAGUUGAGCCCUUUUGGAGAGAUAAGAGCAACAACGCAUGCUUCUUGUGACGCAAUUUAUUUGCAAACACUCUGGGAAGUGAUCAUUGUGUCUGGCGCGCUUCAAAUACACAAGUAUUUCUUCCAUCACUGGAGAAAUACGAUAAAUGGCUGUGAAAUAAUGUACAUAUAAAUAUAUUUAUAACUUUUGGAAUCCUCAUCACUUACAUGUCAAUCCUCAUCCACCUUCUUUCUUCAAGUAUGACCAUGAAGACAACAGAUCCUUGGACGUAUCAGUGCGGAAAGUGCGGGCGAGAGUUCAAAACAGCUCAUGAAAGGGAUCAACAUAUGAUUGCUUGUGGCGCUACACCCUCUGCCGGCUCUGGGCGACGGAAAGAUGAAAAUAAGUUUGAGUACUCUCAAGGCUUUUGAAGGACCCCCAGAGAGGAAUGAUCAUGAUCCUACUCUCCUAAACCAGAAGACUGACACCACCAAUUAAAGACUGAUUUCAUUUAGUUACUCUCAAAUAUUAUGCUAUAACAUAUAAUUAUUAUUUAUUACACUAUUUUUUUAAACCCCUAUUGUUGUUAAUGUGCAGUGUUUAAGUAUGUGCCUUUGGACUUAUUGGAAAAAUAAGGAUGCCUAACUCCUCGCAAAAAUACAAAAACGAAACCUUAAUAUUGUAAAUAUUUACAUAUAUAAUAUUCCUGGUGAGGUCUCAAAGUUAUUACAUACAUUUUUAGUGUGAGCCCCGAAAAGGAAUCUAGUUCCUUAUUUGAUCAGUAAUUUUUAUCUUUUCUACUCUCACAACCUUAUGUUUCAUUCCCCUAAAAAAUCCUAAAUUUCUAUGAAAUAUACAUAUAAUUUCUCAUUA
rnacentral:lncRNA from 1 species